rnacentral:rRNA from 1 species
AUGAAACUUCGGUCGAGUGAGAGUAUAGAGAGCGGCGGACGGGUGAGUAACGCGUAGGCAACCUGCCCCAUACAGAGGGAUAGCCUCGGGAAACCGGGAUUAAAACCUCAUAACGCCAAGAGUUCACAUGGUCAAAUGGCCAAAGAUUUAUCGGUAUGGGAUGGGCCCGCGUCUGAUUAGCUAGUUGGUGGGGUAACGGCCUACCAAGGCAACGAUCAGUAGCCGACCUGAGAGGGUAAUCGGCCACAUUGGAACUGAGACACGGUCCAAACUCCUACGGGAGGCAGCAGUGGGGAAUAUUGCACAAUGGGCGAAAGCCUGAUGCAGCAACGCCGCGUGAGCGAUGAAGGCCUUUGGGUCGUAAAGCUCUGUCCUUGGAAGAAGAAGUGACGGUACCUUAGGAGGAAGCCCCGGCUAACUACGUGCCAGCAGCCGCGGUAAUACGUAGGGGGCAAGCGUUAUCCGGAAUCACUGGGCGUAAAGGGUGCGUAGGCGGCUGAUCAAGCCAGGGGUGAAAGGCAAUAGCUUAACUAUUGUGAGCCUUUGGAACUGGUCAGCUUGAGUGCAGGAGAGGAAAGCGGAAUUCCUAGUGUAGCGGUGAAAUGCGUAGAUAUUAGGAGGAACACCAGUGGCGAAGGCGGCUUUCUGGACUGUAACUGACGCUGAGUCACGAAAGCGUGGGUAGCAAACAGGAUUAGAUACCCUGGUAGUCCACGCUGUAAACGAUGAGUGCUAGGUGUUGGGUAGCGAUAUUCAGUGCCGAAGUUAACACAAUAAGCACUCCGCCUGGGGAGUACGGUCGCAAGACUGAAACUCAAAGGAAUUGACGGGGACCCGCACAAGCAGCGGAGCAUGUGGUUUAAUUCGAAGCAACGCGAAGAACCUUACCAAGGUUUGACAUCCCCUUGACAGAUGCAGAGAUGUGUCCUCCCCUUCGGGGGCAAGGGAGACAGGUGGUGCAUGGUUGUCGUCAGCUCGUGUCGUGAGAUGUUGGGUUAAGUCCCGCAACGAGCGCAACCCCUACAGCUAGUUGCCAGCACAUAAUGGUGGGAACUCUAGCAGAACUGCCGUUGACAAAACGGAGGAAGGUGGGGAUGACGUCAAAUCAUCAUGCCCCUUAUGUCUUGGGCUACACACGUGCUACAAUGGUCGGUACAACGGGCAGCGAAAGAGUGAUCUGGAGCAAAUCCCAAUAAACCGAUCCCAGUUCGGAUUGUAGGCUGCAACUCGCCUACAUGAAGUCGGAAUCGCUAGUAAUCGCGAAUCAGAACGUCGCGGUGAAUGCGUUCCCGGGUCU